CUGCCCUUGAGUGGGGAACAUGUCCGAAAGACGUAAAUCCCGCAUGACAUCUUCCGCUCGCAUGUGUAGAAGAUCAAAGGUGCCCUCUGAUUCAAGGUGCCGCUUGAGGAUGACCCCGAGUCCUAUUAGCUUGUUGGUGGGGUAAUGGCCCACCAAGGCGAUGAUGGGUAGCUGGCCUGAGAGGGUGGUCAGCCACACUGGGACUGAGAUACGGCCCAG
rnacentral:rRNA from 1 species